UCAAGCGCACAUAUCGGGUGUACACGUUCAUGAUUGGUGAUUCAACAUAAUUCAAUACUUCCUAGAACUCGACGUUGUACUUCACCAUAAUAUCAUUGCAUACCCGGCAUUCAUUCUAACCACAACAUACAUUCACAAUACUUCGAUAGGCCUUAAACCUUAUAGGCAUACGUAGGCUUAACGAGUAAAGUGUUUCCUGUUAAUAUCCACAAAUUAACAACUUGACGAGUUGGACAAAGGACAUUGUAGUGGGUCGUCCUCUCCUUCGAUCUCAUUGUCGUCUGCUCCGAUCUCAUUCCCAUUGACGAACGACAAGAAGAGCGAACCGAACACUGGCGAAGAGAAGAUACAGUGUGCGUGUGGUGUAGUUCAAGUGGACAUAUGUCUCAUGUCAUGGCAGUAUAGGGAAACACGGAAGUAUCCUUUCAUGAGAGCAUUAAAGAACAACGACCUCGCCAUGAUAACUUCAUAAGGGAUUAGCUUGACUUGAAUGUGUCAGACAUUAUCUCAAUUCCUUUCAAUUGACUUUUGGAUAGCAUUACGGACUAUAUUUGUGAAUAACUUAUUCCGUGGGCUUGUUUUUUUGGUAGAUUGAAAACUAAUCAACAGAGGAUACGAAUAUCACAGCCGUAGAAACGAAAUCAUGACAGAUAGAAGUGGAGAGAAGGUAUCUCGCCUCAGUGAUCAGAGCUUUGAGAGUAUUGAGAGUUAUCAUGAACCUACACAAACGUUGCAGUUAAGGUCACUGUGCCAGGAGGAUGAAGGUGGGGAUGCAAAUCAAAGUCGGUCUCUAUCUAGAGAUUGCAAUGUCCUCCUUACAGACAGUGAGUUGGAGGGAACUGCACAGGAAACGACAGGACAAGAUGUUGUUAUUCAACGGGCGUUUAAUGUAGACGAAGUGACUGGACCCUUCCUUGUCACGUAUAGAACACAAGAAGGACCAAUUGAGACGAAACAGACGGCCUCAUCAGUGAGCUCACAGUCGGCCUCCUCAAAGAAAGUUGUCAAGAACAGUACGAAGGGUAAACGGAGAGCAAAGUCUGAAGUACGUUUUGAUGUCCCCGCGGCAUUAAAGUCACUGCGGCGUCGGCCACGAUCAGGGUUCCCCCAAAGACAGGGCAUAAUUGCUCGGAGGGGAGUUUGCCCCCACAGCUGGGGCUCUGAGGAAGAGCAGUGGACUGUUUCAGGUGGUGGAGGUUUUGGUGGAAGCGAUGAUGGCAGUUGGCAAGUCACCUCUGACGGUGAUCCACAGGCUGGGUCCAAUCAAUCCGGCGGUUCGACGAGUCCACUCGACUCUUGUUCGCGGAAUUCGUGGGUUGAUGAAUCAAAUGAGGAUACUUCCUCUUGUUCCUCUCCGCUUGAUUCUGUUAGGCAAGGUUGCCACGAGGUCAAUCCACACCAACAAGUCCCACAAGCGUCUGGUGUGCAGGAACUGACAGAUAGACCUAGAAGUACACUUGUAGACGUUGCGGCUGAAGCUGAAAUGCGUUCACACCUCCAAAGGACCAGCGUAACUUGUGAAGAGGGAGAGAGUGCCACACCUGAUGACUCUAGAGAUAUUCAUUCGAGGUCAAGGUCUCAAUCUAGCAACCCCUCAGGUCAAGGUCGAAUCAGGAAUAGGGAAAAUAUGACACUUGCCAUGGAAAAUCCGCCUGCACAACAGUCUACCACUGUUAUUGGUUCUCGGAGAAGGAUUGACCCUUGUGCACCAUCUGAGGAAAUGGUUUCGUCUUCUCCAAACAUUUUCAUCACAUCAUCACCUCAAAAUAUUUGUCAAAACAUAUUGUCUCCUUCUAGAAUGUCUGAAACGUUGCCUGCUGUGUUUGUAUUUCCUGACCAGCAAUCUCACACAGACCCACGUCAGAGGACGGCAUCGGUUGCCCCAGCACCUUCUCAACCAUCAAGGUCUGCUGCAACUUUGAACUCAUCUGUGGUGACUCCACCCCGGCAGCCAAGCCUGUCUGGUAGAAAAGGGAAAGGAAGAGGACGACCUGCAGACUACAGUGAGAUCCCAGCUGCUCUCCAGUCGCUGCGUCGUAAACCUAGAUCAGGAUUCGGGCAGCGUACAAGUUUCAUGAACCGGAUGCAGGUUGGCCCACAAGAAUCAACAAGAGUUGAUGCAAGUCUUGCACAAAGCCAAUCUCUAGACAAUAGUGAACCGAAUCUUGAAUCAGCAGUGCCUAGUACGUCUGGUGAGACAAUAAAUGAUAAUUUGCCGAUGUCCAGAACCAUACAACACCAAAGCCAAAUCGAAAGUCAAGACCAGGGUGAGCCAAGUGUACCUCGUACUAUUCUGGAAGCUAUCGCUAAUGUGACUGUGUCAACCCGCGCCCAUGACCAAGAAACAGCAGCCCUCCGCUCUCUGCGACGCCACCCCCGUUCAGGUUUUCAGCGUCGCCGGCCACGUGUCUCUGGUCACUUUCCUGAAGCCUCUUGUGAGAGCACACCCUCGGAGGCAACCGGUGCUACUGCUGCUACCACAGCUAGUGUUGAUGAAGCUGCAGAGGUCGGCAGACGAAGUGAAACUCCUGCAGAGCCAGACGAACAAGUCGUAGUUUCGAGACGUCCAGCUCUUCGAGACCCCGACCGUUCCUCACCACCACCGUCAUACGAUGAUCUAUUCUUUUACCCUGUCGGGGACGACAUUGCCAACAUUGCUGAAGCAUUUCUCCCGGAUCAGUUCAGUCCCCGGUUACCAAGUUACGAUGACGUGUUACGACUAUCACAAGAAUCGCCGCCUCCCUAUAUGGAAACGACCGCGGCUGACGACGCCGAACCGGAUUCCUGAUGCCAACUGAAUCAUUCUGGUUCUGUAAAUUGGCUUUUAGACAUCUCAUCCUGGACGAUCAGUGGCCAACGAAAUGGACACCCAAGAGCUAUCGGACAGUUGUGUAUAUUCUAGCAGAACUGUGUCCGAAUUAAUGUACACGUCUGCAUCACUUCAGGGGUUCGGACGGUGUAAAGAUUUCAACCCUUGGAAUCGACAACUAUGCAUUUGGUGUCUGUCCGCAUUCGACCUGGUUUGGGCUGCAGUGGUCUUGGUUUUGCAAUGAAAGACCGCUGCUGUGCCAGUGGAAUCAGGGACCAUGGUCACGUCGCCCCUUAGUUUGCGCCACCAAAGCCGGUAUGAAAGAUCAGUGCUGACCAGGCCAUUGUUUGGUCAAGAUGCCCCCUGUACUUGAUUCGCGACGAUUCUCACAUGUACGUUUCAUGUGGUAUGGUGCCGAUGGCUUUGCAGUCUGUUCGGGGCUGUUCCUCGCUGAAAUGAGUGUUGACAGGGCCAUUGCAGUGAUCUACCCCAUGAGAGCAGCGACCAUUUGCACUGCGUCAAGGGCUGUCAAAAUUACGAUUACAACCGGUGUCCUAGAGCUGCUCGUUCACACACAGACAUUCUUCGUCUUAGAUGUACCAAAUCCCCCAAACGGAGCUCUGAUCAGGAACUUCCCGGAUGCAAGAUGGUGGGAGAAAUUCUACAACGCCUACCUCCUUAUUCUAGGGACAAUCCUUCCGUUCUCUACCCUCGUCGUCUGCAACACCAUCAUCAUAAUCGGCGUCAAUCGAGCUGCAAGGCGUCGCAAGAAAAUGAAAUCGGAUACAGCAGAGAAACCUGGAAAAAUAAGGGAUGCCAAUCUGACGAUCAUGAUGUUAAUGACGUCAUGUGCAUAUCUCGUCUGUUCCAGUCCAAAACGGAUGUACGAAUCGUUGGCUGCUGGUUUCGAUACUGAUUCUCGCUCCGCCCAGGCGAUUUAUUGGUUGGGGUUUUGGAUUUGCACUGAAAUAUGGAUCAUUAAUUUCGCUGUUAACUUUUACAUCUAUUUUCUAGGAGGCGGAAGGAAGUUUCGUCAGGAUGCGAAAGAUAUUUUCAAGAGAUGCUGUUGCUUUGUGUACGCGGUAAAAUAAAAUAGAAUUGCAGGACGUAGGUUCACAACUUUCAAUUUCAGGCGCGUCCAAUCUGACCAUAAGGCGAGGCACAGUCCAUUGCGUCAUCCUAAUUGAAUCUCCUUGCACCGGGCGACGGGACGAGGCCGGUCCAAUGCGACCGGAGCCUGUAAUGCAAGUUGGCAAUCUCCUCAAGUCGAAAGCCCGCGGUUGUCAAAUUGACAUCUUGUAAGAAUGGUACUGACAUGUUUGUCAGAUUGACGACUGCGUUUAUAUUUUCCAUGUUUGACUGUAGCCUCUCGUGAUGAGAAAGACAACAAAAUUGUUGGUACAUACCUGCAAUGGCUUCAUUGAUAUCCGACCAUGAAAAUGAUGAUAAAAAUCAUUUCAGUCGGAUCUCUGAAGAUAUUGGUUUGUCAGAUAUAGGUAUCAGGUAAAUCAACGCAUGCGCAGCCACCAACUUAGACACCAGGGACAAAGUCACAACCUUACUAAUAACGAAAUUAUCAAAUAUCGUAGACGCGAGGUUGAGUGUAAGGUGAAAUCGUAUAGUUGGCGCUACGCAAGCUUUUCCCAAGAGAAGAGAACACGACCAUUGGAAAGUUCGGAUCUUUUGGGAGAAGCUUGACAUCGAAUAAUUUACUUAACCUUUCUGAUAUUUUAUCGGUUAAAUCUUGGUACUGCAAAGGAAACAAUAAGAAAAUUGUGUUAUUAGGCAUGUAUUUGUCUUUUUGUUAAUGUCAGCGUGGCUUCUUUUGGGACCUCAAUCUACAUCGAAGUACACGGCGGUUGCGUUGACGUUACGGACGAGGAUACCAGAUCCUGACAAUCUAUACUUCGAGGUGCAUUGUCUUUCAUGGUGAGGCACAUUCGUCUAAUAGCCAUACGACUA